AUACGUAGGGGACAAGCGUUAUCCGGAUUUACUGGGUGUAAAGGGAGCGUAGGCGGCCAGCCAAGUCAGAAGUGAAAUCCCACGGCUCAACUGUGGGCGUGCUUUUGAAACUGGAGGGCUUGAGUACUGGAGGGGCAAGCGGAAUUCCUGGUGUAGCGGUGAAAUGCAUAGAUAUCAGGAAGAACACCGGAGGCGAAGGCGGCUUGCUGGACAGAGACUGACGCUGAGGCUCGAAGGCGUGGGGAGCAAACAGGAUUAGAUACCCUGGUAGUCCACGCGGUAAACGAUGAAUGCUAGGUAUUGGGCUCCAUAGGGGUUCGGUGCCGCAGUUAACGCAAUAAGCAUUCCACCUGGGGAGUACGUUCGCAAGAAUGAAACUCAAAUGAAUUGACGGGG
rnacentral:rRNA from 1 species